UUUCUGAAGUGCGUUUUCUGUUUUGUUUUACAGAGAGAAAUACACUUGAUUUUUUUGACAGUAGUUUCUGUUUAAAAUAAAUUCAGAGAGCACCUCCUGGGUAGCCCAGAAUUGUGUCUCUCAGCUAAGUUAGAGAGAGAGAGAGAGAGAGAGAGAGAGAGAGAGAGAGAGAGAGAGAGAGAGGAGAGAGGAGAGACCCUAUAGAAUUCCAUUCAGGACUUCUGAAAAGCAUGAGGGUGUAAUAUUAACUCCUGGUCCAGAUCUGGACAGAGGUGAUCAUGAAAAUGGAGGGAAAGCCACAGGAGGCGUGGGAAGCGGGAUGGCGAUCGGGCUGACAGGAACCCUCAAGUUCUGAAGAUCCAUUUGCAUAUUUUCCUAUUUCUUUACAGAAACCCGGGAUGGAUGUGGCCGACGCCUACGUGACUUUCGUCCGCCACUCUCAGGAUGUCCUUCGUGAUAAGGUCAAUGAGGAGAUGUAUAUAGAAAGGUUAUUUGAUCAAUGGUACAACAGCUCCAUGAACGUCAUCUGCACCUGGCUGACCGACCGGAUGGACCUCCAGCUUCACAUUUAUCAGCUGAAAACACUAAUUAGGAUGGUAAAGAAAACCUACAGAGAUUUCCGAUUGCAAGGGGUCCUGGAUUCCACCUUAAACAGCAAGACCUAUGAGACCAUUCGAAAUCGGCUCACUGUAGAGGAAGCUACCGCGUCCGUGAGUGAGGGAGGGGGCUUGCAAGGCAUCAGCAUGAAGGACAGUGACGAGGAAGAUGAAGAAGACGACUAGAUCAUUCUCUGGGUCCAAGAGUCCACUGGGAUGGAGUCCUGUAAUCAAUGCAUGUCUUUAGUCUGUUAGUUAACCCCAUUAGGGAAUUUUCUGUCAACCACCAUGCCCAUGAGAUGUUUACCAAUACAGACACCAUUUUAGCUGCGUGGUACCAAGAUUAGCACAUGGUUUCCUGGUUUCUGUGUCUAUAUGUUUACAAGCAAUAUGGAAUACCAUUCUUAAACACUGUUCAUGGAGAGAAUACAUAGUUCAGCUGCUAGGUGUGUCCCUUUUGUUAGCAGAACAAAACGAUGCUUCACCCUGUGCUCCGUAUGUACUGAUAGGAAGCAGACGUGGGAGCCAGUGUGUUUCCAAGUCUCUGUUUCACAUAUGUGGGUAUCAGGUACUUAAAUUAGUACAUAAAUAAAUUAAUUUAAGCACAUAGAUCUGCUUGGUUUUGGUCUCCGUUUUGUUCUCAUCCCCCGAAACUGAAAGCAAUGGGCGUUUGUGUCCUGGCAAACACAGCUUUGCAUUUUUCCUUGUAGUUUCCCCCCACCACCAAAAAAGUUAAUUAUUGAUUAACUUGGAUUAAUAAUAAAGUGGAUUAAUUAUUUUAAUUGUCAUGGCAAGGGGGCCAUGUGAUCAGGACGUAGCAUCAAGCAAGGUUCAGACCAAUUGUCUUCUGUGGAAGUUUAUCCUAGUACAUGUCACGUUUUCUGUUUCAAUAACUGUAUAUGUAAAAAAAAAAAGUAUCGAAAUGACAACCCUAGACUAUAAAUGUAUUUAUAAUAAGAUAUGGAUAUCUCCUCCAGUAGACUGUAACCAUGAUUUCCAUUAUUUUGUUCCACACUGUUUUUAUAUCUGUCACGUACAUUGCACUCUGAUCUGUAACUGAGCGACCCUGGGGUCCUCUGUAGAGCUGUUUCUUUCUGUGGAAAGUAGUGGAUCCAUCUUGCUUUUUGCCUUAUAUAAAAGCCUACAGUUGUAAAAGUGUGGGGAACUGUGGCUUCUCAAUAAACAAUUAUUCAAACGUCCUAAGAAUGUGUGUGUGUGUGUGUGUGUGUGAGUGUGUGUGUGAGCCCGUCUUCUUCCACCUCCUCUGAAAGCCCACUGAAGCAUAAGAGUCAGGAAGAAACAGAAGAGGCGGGGUGGGCAGAGGUAAUUUUCUAGAGCAUUCUUGACACUGUCGUUGAAGAGAGACUGCCUGGAAGUCCAUUAAUUCACACUCCACUAAUUCAGGAUCUGAGGUUGGGCGCAUUAUGUUUUGCAUCGUAGGAUAAAUAAG
rnacentral:lncRNA from 14 species